AGUAACCAAUGUGUGAGGACUAGGUGACCCUCCCUUAGCGAUUGGAUUCCCGGGGAAGUGCCCAGGGUUCCCCCUUGGCUUCCCUUCCGUCUAAAGGCCUCCCCCAGGUUGGGAAUCCGGAUGAUCUACUGGGCGGUGAGUCUAUGUCCAGGUUACUGUGGAUACUAUGGUGAAAGAGACAUUGUCUCUGUCUCAGAGAUAUCCACCUUCUAGUAGAGAUACCAGAAGUUGGAGAAGUGAUAAGAAUGCAAUAUGAUGGAUGGGUACAGUAAUUAAGAGGACGUCUCAGUUCAUUAGCAGUUUUUUGUCGGAAUAAGAUGAGAUCCAAGAUCUGUCAAAGGUGAAGAAGAAUGCCUGAGGUAUCCACCACAAUACAGGAGUUAAAAGGAACAUUAGAAAUUGGAAAGGAGAUGUGUUAAGGCUCAACCCUGAUUCACUAUCAGAAAGCAAAAGAGGCAAAAGAAGGCCAUGAAGACUGGAGGAAGAGGAAGAAUUGAUGGAUGAGCGAUGAAUUACACCACCUGGUGGUAGUAAUAGUUCUUAGACACCUACCUAUUACAAUCUACUUCCCAUGAGAGAUAUUAAGAAGAGAUUAGAUCCCAAUCUGUCUUAGAAACAACAAAGGUGACCUCUAACUACACUUCUGGGGCAUCUGGAUGGCUCCUUUGGUAAAGCAUCCAACUCUUGAUUUUGGCUCAGGGUAUGAUCUCAUAGUUCAUGAAGUAGAGCCCCAUCUUGCGUUCCAUGCUGACCGGGCAGAGUCUGCUUGAGAUUUUCUCUCUCUCUCUUUCU